rnacentral:rRNA from 1 species
UACGUAGGGCGCAAGCGUUGUCCGGAAUUAUUGGGCGUAAAGAGCUCGUAGGCGGCUUGUCACGUCGGAUGUGAAAGCCCGAGGCUUAACCUCGGGUCUGCAUUCGAUACGGGCUAGCUAGAGUGUGGUAGGGGAGAUCGGAAUUCCUGGUGUAGCGGUGAAAUGCGCAGAUAUCGGGAGGAACACCGGUGGCGAAGGCGGUUCUCUGGGCCUUACCUGACGCUGAGGAGCGAAAGCCAGGGGAGCAAACGGG